UUGACAGUUACUUACACCCACUGUCCGCCUGGGAACUACGAGCGCCAGCUUAAAACCCAAAGGACUUGGCGGUGCUUUAGACCCACCUAGAGGAGCCUGUUCUAGAACCGAUAAUCCCCGUUAAACCUCACCCUUCCUUGUCAUUUCCGCCUAUAUACCACCGUCGUCAGCUUACCCUGUGAAGGCCCAAUAGUAAGCGCAAUCGGCAAUGCCCAAAACGUCAGGUCGAGGUGUAGCGAAUGGAAGGGGAAGAAAUGGGCUACAUUUACUAACACAGUAAAUACGGAUGAUUACCCUGCAACGAGUAUCUGAAGGAGGAUUUAGCAGUAAGCAAAAAGCAGAGUGUUUU
rnacentral:rRNA from 1 species